rnacentral:rRNA from 1 species
GAUGAACGCUGGCGGCGUGCCUAAUACAUGCAAGUCGAGCGAACAGACGAGGAGCUUGCUCCUCUGACGUUAGCGGCGGACGGGUGAGUAACACGUGGAUCACCUACCUAUAAGACUGGGAUAACUUCGGGAAACCGGAGCUAAUACCGGAUAAUAUAUUGAACCGCAUGGUUCAAUAGUGAAAGACGGUUUUGCUGUCACUUAUAGAUGGAUCCGCGCCGCAUUAGCUAGUUGGUAAGGUAACGGCUUACCAAGGCAACGAUGCGUAGCCGACCUGAGAGGGUGAUCGGCCACACUGGAACUGAGACACGGUCCAGACUCCUACGGGAGGCAGCAGUAGGGAAUCUUCCGCAAUGGGCGAAAGCCUGACGGAGCAACGCCGCGUGAGUGAUGAAGGUCUUCGGAUCGUAAAACUCUGUUAUUAGGGAAGAACAAAUGUGUGAGUAACUAUGCACGUCUUGACGGUACCUAAUCAGAAAGCCACGGCUAACUACGUG